rnacentral:rRNA from 1 species
CUUCUCUAAGGAAUAGCCUCUGGAAACGGAGAGUAAUACCUUAUACGCCCUUUGGGGGAAAGAUUUAUCGGAGAAGGAUUAGCCCGCGUUAGAUUAGGUAGUUGGUGGGGUAAUGGCCUACCAAGCCUACGAUCUAUAGCUGGUUUGAGAGGAUGAUCAGCCACACUGGGACUGAGACACGGCCCAGACUCCUACGGGAGGCAGCAGUAGGGAAUCUUAGACAAUGGGGGCAACCCUGAUCUAGCCAUGCCGCGUGUGUGAUGAAGGCCCUAGGGUCGUAAAGCACUUUCGCCAGAGAUGAUAAUGACAGUAUCUGGUAAAGAAACCCCGGCUAACUCCGUGCCAGCAGCCGCGGUAAUACGGAGGGGGUUAGCGUUGUUCGGAAUUACUGGGCGUAAAGCGCACGUAGGCGGAUUAGUAAGUUAGAGGUGAAAUCCCAGGGCUCAACCCUGGAACUGCCUUUAAUACUGCUAGUCUUGAGUUCGAGAGAGGUAAGUGGAAUUCCGAGUGUAGAGGUGAAAUUCGUAGAUAUUCGGAGGAACACCAGUGGCGAAGGCGGCUUACUGGCUCGAUACUGACGCUGAGGUGCGAAAGUGUGGGGAGCAAACAGGAUUAGAUACCCUGGUAGUCCACACCGUAAACGAUGAAUGCCAGACGUCAGCAAGUAUACUUGUUGGUGUCACACCUAACGGAUUAAGCAUUCCGCCUGGGGAGUACGGUCGCAAGAUUAAAACUCAAAG